rnacentral:SRP_RNA from 1 species
CGGCAAGUCUUAUACGACCAGCUCCUAUUACUCCUCCAGGGCGGGAACGCAGCAAAGGUAUAUGGUUGUAGCGGUGCGAUAUAAGUAACUUGCCAUUU